GGGGAUGACUUGGUUUCGACAGGAAUAUAAGAGCAUAGACUGCAAGUCGGAGGAACACGUCACGAACACAAGCAAUAAAUGCUAAAAAUUUAAAAAAUACAUUUGCUAACAUGUUUGGUGGAAAUCAAACAUCUUAUGCCUUUGCCUAAUAAUAUAAGGGAAUGUGCUCUAUCUAUUUUUACUUACGGAAUAGAAUAGGGUUCAAUAAGUAAGUUAUAGCUAUUGUCUGUCUAAACAAUAGAAAGAAUACCAAAGACUAGCAUAAAUAGUAUACGUUCGUUAAUUACCGGCUAAUUAUGCGAAUAUAUGUAGUUAACUAAACUUGUAGAAGUUUAUGUAGCUUUAUUUUUGGACAGGAGUUCGAUUCUCCUCAUCUCCACCA
rnacentral:tmRNA from 1 species